rnacentral:rRNA from 1 species
GAUCAUGGCUCAGGAUGAACGCUGGCGGCGUGCUUAACACAUGCAAGUCGAACGGGAAUUACUUUAUUGAAACUUCGGUCGAUUUAAUUUAAUUCUAGUGGCGGACGGGUGAGUAACGCGUGGGUAACCUGCCUUAUACGAGGGGGAUAACAGUCAGAAAUGGCUGCUAAUACCGCAUAAGCGCACAGAGCUGCAUGGCUCAGUGUGAAAAACUCCGGUGGUAUAAGAUGGACCCGCGUUGGUA